CCUACGGGAGGCCAGCAGUGGGGAAUAUUGCACAAUGGGCGAAAGCCUGAUGCAGCAACGCCGCGCGAGGGACGACGGCCUUCGGGUUGUAAACCUCUUUUAGCAGGGAAGAAGCGAAAGUGACGGUACCUGCAGAAAAAGCACCGGCUAACUACGUGCCAGCAGCCGCGGUAAUACGUAGGGUGCAAGCGUUGUCCGGAAUUAUUGGGCGUAAAGAGCUCGUAGGCGGUUUGUCGCGUCUGCUGUGAAAACCCGAGGCUCAACCUCGGGCCUGCAGUGGGUACGGGCAGACUAGAGUGCGGUAGGGGAGAUUGGAAUUCCUGGUGUAGCGGUGGAAUGCGCAGAUAUCAGGAGGAACACCGAUGGCGAAGGCAGAUCUCUGGGCCGUAACUGACGCUGAGGAGCGAAAGGGUGGGGAGCAAACAGGCUUAGAUACCCUGGUAGUCCACCCCGUAAACGUUGGGAACUAGAUGUGGGGACCAUUCCACGGUCUCCGUGUCGCAGCUAACGCAUUAAGUUCCCCGCCUGGGGAGUACGGCCGCAAGGCUAAACUUAAGGAAUUGACGG
rnacentral:rRNA from 1 species